rnacentral:rRNA from 1 species
CCUACGGGUGGCAGCAGUGGGGAAUAUUGGACAAUGGGCGAAAGCCUGAUCCAGCCAUGCCGCGUGUGUGAAGAAGGCCUUCGGGUUGUAAAGCACUUUCAGUGGGGAAGAAAGCCUUGGGGCUAAUACCCUCGAGGAAGGACAUCACCCACAGAAGAAGCACCGGCUAACUCCGUGCCAGCAGCCGCGGUAAUACGGAGGGUGCGAGCGUUAAUCGGAAUUACUGGGCGUAAAGCGCGCGUAGGCGGUCUGAUAAGCCGGUUGUGAAAGCCCCGGGCUCAACCUGGGAACGGCAUCCGGAACUGUCAGGCUAGAGGGCAGGAGAGGAAGGUAGAAUUCCCGGUGUAGGGGUGAAAUGCGUAGAGAUCGGGAGGAAUACCAGUGGCGAAGGCGGCCUUCUGGACUGACACUGACGCUGAGGUGCGAAAGCGUGGGUAGCAAACAGGAUUAGAUACCCGUGUAGU